AGUGAACGCUGGCGGUAGGCCUAACACAUGCAAGUCGAACGGCAGCACAGUAAGAGCUUGCUCUUACGGGUGGCGAGUGGCGGACGGGUGAGGAAUACAUCGGAAUCUACUUUUUCGUGGGGGAUAACGUAGGGAAACUUACGCUAAUACCGCAUACGACCUACGGGUGAAAGCAGGGGAUCUUCGGACCUUGCGCGAUUGAAUGAGCCGAUGUCGGAUUAGCUAGUUGGCGGGGUAAAGGCCCACCAAGGCGACGAUCCGUAGCUGGUCUGAGAGGAUGAUCAGCCACACUGGAACUGAGACACGGUCCAGACUCCUACGGGAGGCAGCAGUGGGGAAUAUUGGACAAUGGGCGCAAGCCUGAUCCAGCCAUACCGCGUGGGUGAAGAGGGCCUUCGGGUUGUAAGGCCCUUUUGUUGGGAAAGAAAAGCAGCAGGUUAAUACCCCGCUGUUCUGACGGUACCCAAAGAAUAAGCACCGGCUAACUUCGUG
rnacentral:rRNA from 1 species